rnacentral:misc_RNA from 1 species
UUUCCGUAGGUGAACCUGCGGAAGGAUCAUUAAUGAGUGAGGGUCCUCGGUGGCCCGACCUCCCAACCCUGUGUUUACUGAACUUUCGUUGCUUCGGCGGGCCCGCCACACGGCCGCCGGGGGACCGCCGCGAGGCGUCCUCUGGCCCGCGCCCGUCGAUAGCCCCCGUUUCAAACUCUUGAAUAAAUCGUGUCGCGUACCUAAGUCACAAGAAAAACAAAAAAAAGCAAAAACUUUCAACAACGGAUCUCUUGGUUCUG